AUGGAGGUAAAACACAAACAGGAAAGAUGCAAUAGUAGCCGCCUUUGUGAUUAUCUUCAGGUUACUGUCCUGUUUUCGUCGUCUUGUUUCACGGGCGAUCUUGGUGAUCUUUCCAAGGCUGAUCAAUUUCUUCAGAGAAGACGUCCUGGUCAAUCACCACAUCUGAUCAAUUUCUGUCUGUGGCGAGAAGAAGUGGUACAACUCCGGCGAUCAAUUUCUUUGGCGAUUAACAGUUUUGAUCAAUUCAAACAGCAGCACAGGCGGCGCACGGGCGGGGAGGAGCACAGGCUGCUGCUGUUGGUCAGUGCGGGAAGGAGCACGGGCAGAGGUCAAUUGGCCGGAUCCGGAGCUCCAAUGCCUGAAUCGAGGAGCUGGAAGGCUGAGGCAGGAGGAGGAGCACAGGCUGCGAUGCUGCUGCUGUUGGUCAGUGCGGGGAGGAGCACGGACGGAGGUCAAUUGGCCGGAUCCGGAGCUCCAGUGCCUGAAUCGAGGAGCUGGAAGGCUCAGGCAGGAGGAGGAGCACGGGCGGCGCUGCUGCUGGUCGGUGCAGGGAGGAGCACGGGUGGCGCGGAGGCCAGGAGUCGCGGGCGGCUGGAGGCUGUGGCGGACGGCGAGGGAGUUGCGUAUGAGUUUGGGCUCUCAAUUGGAGCGGAGGAAGGCGGCCGGCGAGGGAGCUGCGGGCGGAUGCCGGAGCUGCAGCAGUGGGGUGGAGCCUGGCGGAGGGGAGGAGCGAUGGAGGAAGACGAAGAUCCCCGGCGACAAGAAUUUCAAAUUGAGGGUAGUUUGGUACUUUUUCCUGUUUUCACCUGGUCGGAGAAGUUCCCCAACGACAACUAUUUUGGAACAGAGGGAGUAUAUGUUUCUAUAGAGUACUUCGUUUUUGUACUAUACGCUUGA
rnacentral:rRNA from 1 species